rnacentral:rRNA from 1 species
CACGUAGGGGGCAAGCGUUGCUCGGAUUUACUGGGCGUAAAGGGUGCGUAGGCGGAUUUUUAAGUCAGGGGUGAAAUCCCAGGGCUCAACCCUGGAACUGCCUUUGAUACUGUCGAUCUGGAGUAUGGAAGAGGUGAGUGGAAUUCCGAGUGUAGAGGUGAAAUUCGUAGAUAUUCGGAGGAACACCAGUGGCGAAGGCGGCUCACUGGUCCAUUACUGACGCUGAGGUGCGAAAGCGUGGGGAGCAAACAGG